rnacentral:rRNA from 1 species
AUUGAACGCUGGCGGCAGGCCUAACACAUGCCAGUCGAGCGGAUGAAGGGAGCUUGCUCCUGGAUUCAGCGGCGGACGGGUGAGUAAUGCCUAGGAAUCUGCCUGGUAGUGGGGGAUAACGUCCGGAAACGGGCGCUAAUACCGCAUACGUCCUGAGGGAGAAAGUGGGGGAUCUUCGGACCUCACGCUAUCAGAUGAGCCUAGGUCGGAUUAGCUAGUUGGUGGGGUAAAGGCCUACCAAGGCGACGAUCCGUAACUGGUCUGAGAGGAUGAUCAGUCACACUGGAACUGAGACACGGUCCAGACUCCUACGGGAGGCAGCAGUGGGGAAUAUUGGACAAUGGGCGAAAGCCUGAUCCAGCCAUGCCGCGUGUGUGAAGAAGGUCUUCGGAUUGUAAAACACUUUAAGUUGGGAGGAAGGGCAGUAAGUUAAUACCUUGCUGUUUUGACGUUACCAACAGAAUAAGCACCGGCUAACUUCGUG